rnacentral:rRNA from 1 species
UAAGGGCGCACGGUGGAUGCCUUGGCACUAGAAGCCGAUGAAGGACGUUACUAACGACGAUAUGCUUUGGGGAGCUGUAAGUAAGCUUUGAUCCAGAGAUUUCCGAAUGGGGAAACCCAGCAUGAGUUAUGUCAUGUUAUCGAUAUGUGAAUACAUAGCAUAUCAGAAGGCACACCCGGAGAACUGAAACAUCUUAGUACCCGGAGGAAGAGAAAGAAAAUUCGAUUCCCUUAGUAGCGGCGAGCGAAACGGGAAGAGCCCAAACCAACAAGCUUGCUUGUUGGGGUUGUAGGACACUCUAUACGGAGUUACAAAGGACGACAUUAGACGAAUCAUCUGGAAAGAUGAAUCAAAGAAGGUAAUAAUCCUGUAGUCGAAAAUGUUGUCUCUCUUGAGUGGAUCCUGAGUACGACGGAGCACGUGAAAUUCCGUCGGAAUCUGGGAGGACCAUCUCCUAAGGCUAAAUACUCUCUAGUGACCGAUAGUGAACCAGUACCGUGAGGGAAAGGUGAAAAGCACCC